UUAAACGGCAACGGUAUCCUAACCGUGCAAAGGUAGCAUAAUCACUUGUCCCCUAAAUAGGGACUAGAAUGAACGGUUAAAUGAGGACCUCACUGUCUCUUACAUUUGACCAAUAAACCUGAUCUUUCAGUCCAAAAGCUGAAAUAAACUCAUAAGACGAGAAGACCCUGUGGAGCUUUUUAAACCAAGCCCAUAAAACUUAAUGUAAGCCUUGGUUUUUAGUUGGGGCGACUUUGGAGUACAAAAAACCCUCCAACCACGGAACUAACCCUCUAGAUAUACACAUCAAAAGCAUACCCCCUAGACCCAGUAGCUUUAAUAAACUACCUGAUCUACGAACCAAGUUACCCCAGGGAUAACAGCGCCAUCCUCUUCUAGAGUUCCUAUCGACAAGAGGGUUUACGACCUCGAUGUUGGAUCAGGACACCCCUAUAGUGCAGCCGCUAUAAAAGGUUCGUUUGUUCAACGACUAAGGUCCUACGUGAUCU
rnacentral:rRNA from 1 species